UUUUUUUUUUUUACUAAAUCAAAAGAUCACUUAGUAGGUUUUAACGAAAAGGAGAUUGUUACAAAUAGUACAACCAGGAAACUCUCAGUUGGCUGUCUUGGCAUCCCCUGGUAUUCCUUAACUGAACUCAUUCAACAUUUAGGAUAUACAGGCCACCACACAAAGAUGACAGCUAUGAAUUAGACAGACAGGGUCUUUGCUUUUCUGGAGUUUACAUUCUAGGUAGGGGUGUGUGUGUGUGUGUGUCUCUCUCUCUCUCUCUCUCUGUGUUGGGUACUGUAGGCGAAAUGUUAUAAACAUAUAACUAUAAAAAUUUCAGAUUCUGAAAGGAACUGUGGUGAAAAUAAAUAGAAACGCAGAGUGUCUCAGUCCGUUUUGGUUUUGUUUGGAUUUUUUCAGAGACAGGGUCUCACUACAUUGCCCAGGCCGGUCUUGAACUCCUGGGCUCAAGUGAUCCUCUCAGCUUGGCCUCCCAAAGGGCUGGGAUUAAAGGCAUGAGCCACCACACCUGGCCCACUUUGUUUUGUUAUAACAGAAUACCUGAGACUGGGUAAUUUAUAAUGAACAUAAAUUUAUUUGGCUCACAGUCCUGGAAGCUGGGAAGUCCAAGAUCAAGGAGCCGUAUCCGCUGGGAGCAUUCUUGUUGCAUAACACGGUAAAAGGCAUCACAGAGUAAGAGAGAGCAAGAGAGAGCAAGAGAUAAAAGGAGACCAAACUCAUCCUUUUAUCCAGAGCCCACUCCCACAGUAAAUAACCCACUCCUGCAAUAUCACCAUUAAUCCAUGUGUGAGGGCAGAGCUCUCAUGACCUAAUCACUUCUUAAAGGUCCCACCUCUCAACACUACUGCAUUGGGGAUUAAGUUUCCAACACAUGAACUUUGGAGAACACAUUCAAACAGUAGCACUGAGGUAGAAUAUAAUAGGAUUUAGGGGAGACCACUCUGAAAAUAAUAUAGGACCUAAGGGAGGUAACAUUUAAACUUAGAAAGACUUAAUGCUAAGAAAGAAUCAGAGCACAAAGAUCAUUUCACGCAGACAGAAUAGCACGCACAAAGGCCUCAAGGUAGUUUUGAGAUGUUCCUGUGCCGACCACAUUAAUCAGGUGGCGCACUGGUAUGAGAUGGGGGAGGUGGGCAGAGGCCAGAUCACGUAGUACCUGGGGCACUGGAAACCUGAUAAAGGACUUUUUGAACAGGAACGCGACACAAACCAAGUUACUUUUCUAAAAAUCUGCUCUGGCUUAUGAAGUCACUGGAGCACUCAGAGUGAUAAUGGUGGUUUACACUAGAAUGAUAGUAGCAGAGAAAAGAAGUAGAUGGAUUUGCCAUAUUCAUAGUCCUUCCUCAUCCUCAGGGGAUACAUUCCAAGUUCCUCAGUGGAUACCUCCUCUGACCAUGAGACGGUGGUGAAUGGCAAUCUAGAGUCAGGAAGAAAAG
rnacentral:lncRNA from 1 species